rnacentral:rRNA from 1 species
CCCCUAGAUGUUCUGGGCCGCACGCGCGCUACACUGAACAGUUCAACAAGUCUUAACCUUGGCCGAUAGGUCUGGGUAAUCUUUGAACGCUGUUCGUGAUUGGGAUAGACCUUUGCAAUUAUGGGUCUUCAACGAGGAAUUCCUAGUAAACGCAAGUCAUCAGCUUGCAUUGAUUACGUCCCUGCCCUUUGUACACACCGCCCGUCGCACCUACCGAUUGAAUGGUCCGGUGAAAUCUCGGGACGGCGGCUUGGUCGCUUGCGUCCGACUGCUGAAACUUGAUUAAACCAUAUCAUUGAGAGGAAGGUGAAGUCGUAACA